AUAUCAAUAAGCGGAGGAAAAGAAACUAACAAGGAUUCCCUCAGUAACGGCGAGUGAAGCGGGAAGAGCUCAAAUUUAAAAUCUGGCUUCUUCGGAGCCCGAGUUGUAUUCUAUAGAAGUGUUUUCCUUCGAGUACCGAGAUACAAGUCUUCUGGAAAGAAGCAUCAUAGAGGGUGAGAAUCCCGUCCAUGAUCUCGAGUGGCUUGAUUUUGUGAUACACUUUCUACGAGUCAGGUUGUUUGGGAAUGCAGCCUAAAAUGGGUGGUAAAUUUCAUCUAAAGCUAAAUAUUGGCGAGAGACCGAUAGCGAACAAGUACCGUGAGGGAAAGAUGAAAAGAACUUUGAAAAGAGAGUUAAACAGUACGUGAAAUUGUUGAAAGGGAAACGUUUGAAACCAGUCAGUUGGCUUGUAAUCAAUCUAUCUCUUGGGAUGGAUGCACUUGCAAGUUUUACUCGUCAAUGUCAGUUUGAUGGGUUGGAAAAAGACCUUUGAAAUGUGGCUACUUUCGGGUAGUGUUAUAGUCAUUGGUGAAAUACAAUCCAUUGGACUGAGGAAUGCAGUUGAAAUGUCGGCCUUUGGGUGUUUAGUUUGACGAAAUGUUGGACAAUUUAUUGACCAAUAUUUACUAGAAUUAAUAGCUCAUUUGGCUUCUAAUCAGCUUAGGUCAUUGACUUAAUGGUUUUAAAUGA
rnacentral:rRNA from 1 species